rnacentral:lncRNA from 1 species
UUAAUUGUCCUUUUUCUUACGUUGAAAAUCAUUCCAAACCUCAACCAAGAAAAAAAAUCUACCUCUCAUCUCUUUCCUCUCUGUCAGUGGUAAACGCUACUAGACUAUCAGAUAAUAAAAAAUCAGGUGGUUUUCAACCUUCUCCUUCACUUUUCUGCCCGCAUCCAUCAGUCCGGUGGUCCCUCCAUCAACUUUAUAUCAUUUCAACAAUUUUUUCUGCUUAAAUAAGAUCCCAAAUUUGUCCAUCACUGCUGCUCCUGAAAAGGUGAAGAAUGUGAAGGACCAUCGAAUUUGAGAUCGUUACCCCCUUAAUUCUAUAGGUCUUAAAGUAAAGCCUUCAAACUAUCCUUUCCCCCUUUAGAUCAAAUGUCAAAAGGAGUAAAAAUUCAUCCUUUACUUUUUAUUUCUCAUAAUUAAGAUUCUCAAGAAUUCAAAUUUUGAAUUCAAGGAGUUUUCUCCAAGAAGUCGGAGAACUCCCUCAAUUUCGACUAUAAAUGAAGCCUUUAGACUCUCACUUUUGAUAAGGAUUUGAAGCCUUCCAAGUUCUAGAGUAGAUUUGAGUUCAAGGAAGUCCUAUUCACUGCCACCCUAAAGAGAAAAAAUAGAGUCUUUGUAAAAGACUCUCACAGAUCAGACAUUUUCGCCUUGAGUUUUUGCAUUAUUGUUAGACCGAAUUCUGGAUCUCUAUCUCAUUCAGCUCUCUUGAUCUUCCUCGAGUAAAUUCGAAAAAAAACAAAGAGAGAGAGAGAGAGAUUGCAUCUACUUCUUAAUUCAAGUUGUCUCGCUCUUUUGAAAAAAAAUUCAAGUUGAAGUAAGAAAGGGAGGAGAUGAAAGAAUAACUUCCAUAUAUUUCAGCUUGUUCCAU